rnacentral:rRNA from 1 species
AUACGUAGGGGGCGAGCGUUGUCCGGAAUGAUUGGGCGUAAAGGGCGCGUAGGCGGCGCGGUAAGUCUGGAGUGAAAGUCCUGCUUUCAAGGUGGGAAUUGCUUUGGAUACUGCCGCGCUUGAGUGCAGGAGAGGUUAUCGGAAUUCCCGGUGUAGCGGUGAAAUGCGUAGAGAUCGGGAGGAACACCAGUGGCGAAGGCGGGUAACUGGACUGCAACUGACGCUGAGGCGCGAAAGUGUGGGGAGCAAACAGGAUUAGAUACCCUGGUAGUCCACACUGUAAACGAUGAAUGCUAGGUGUGGGGGGUAUCGACCCCUUCUGUGCCGCAGUCAACACAAUGAGCAUUCCGCCUGGGGAGUACGGCCGCAAGGUUGAAACUCAAAGGAAUUGACGGGG